rnacentral:lncRNA from 1 species
CCUGGCCACUGGUUUAAGAAGUUUAUGAGAAACUCCUGUGCAUCUCGCACCGCGUUAGGAGGAGAGGAGCUGGGUCCACCUGGGUGAGGAGGGACAGGAGGCCGGCAGGGGGCGCUGUCCACAGCGGAACCAGGUGAGGUCGGCUGCUGGGAGGGGGGACCCCCCCCGCCCCAGGAGGCGCGGGGAGAUGGGACACAGGCCUGGGGUCAGGCCCUCGGACAUGUUCAACUUGGAAGUACCCCUCCCGGCCCCCACCUUGGAGCUGUUUUCAGUGCCGUAAUCCUGGGUUCUGGCAUCAGAGCCGUUGCCAUGGGGACCUCGGCGAUUCAGCAUUUUGAUGAUGGGUUCAGUGGGGAAGAAGGGGAGAGGAGGGGAGGCGAGAGGGAGGGGGAGGGGGCGGAAGUCUCGGGUUCUCUGGAUGGGGGAUGAGGAGGAAGUGGGAAGGGGGUAUAUUCCUUGCCCUCAGCUGAUGUAACAAACUGCCAACCACUGGGUAGCUUGAAAUAACAGAAAUGGAUCCUCUCCUGCAUCUGGAGGACAGACAUCCAAAAUCAAGGUCUCAGGUGAGCUUGGCUCCUACUGGAGGCUAAGGGAGCAUCUGUCCUGGGCCUGUCUCCUGGCUUCUGAUGUUGCCAGGGAUCCCUGGUGACUGUCCUUUGCCUGGUAGAGGUGUCACUCCCAUCUGUCUCCGUCUUCGCAUGGCCUCCUCCCCGCGUCCCUGUGUGUCUGCUCCUUUUCUGUCUCUCCAAGGACACUCGUCUUUUGAUCUAGGACCCACCCUAAAUCCAGGAUG